rnacentral:lncRNA from 1 species
UUAAGAGCAACAGGGAGUCAUACCGAUCAAUUGAGAGCGACCUUUUUGCAGCUGAAUCGUCAUUUCCAGUUUGACUGACGGACAUUUAGCAGGGUGACAACACCUGUCUCCAAAAACCUAAAAAAGAAAAUAUCCCUUUGGGACAAAAAUGCUGACUAAUGUGCCCUACAGCAUGGCCAUAGUUGUGAGUGUUAGUUGCUAUGGCCACUUAACUGCGAAUGAACAAGCUGUGUUUGCUAGUAACCAUGCCCUGAUGUAUUAAAAAGUUAAAACUAAACCACGAAUCAUUUCCUAUUGCUUGGCAAAAGCAAUCACAAUAGACCAAGUUGCUAAUGCAAACUGAAACCUAAAACUUUUUGUUGUAAAAGUUGCAGGUGUUUGCUGAGACAGGAAUGGUCGGGCACCGAGCUCGUUGCCAUAGGAACUCCAGGGCUCUCCUCUGACAACAGUCCAGAGGCAGGGGUAUUUAGGAGGAGGGUCAGCUGAGCAGCUCAGAGCUCUCGGGACACGACGGACUGAAGGCGCUGGUGCAGGAAGAGGACCUGGACUGUCCACAGCUCGCCACGAGAGGGUCAGAGGAGCACCAUGGGUUGCAACAGCAGUAAGAGUGGAGAGGCCAUCGACCCUGCCAAAAAACCUGGGGAAAAGGCAGAAGACGAGGGCGCCGAUGGAGAGCCUGACGCAGAUAGCGCACCGGCGGCCGAGGGCAAUGGGAAUGGGGCAGAAGGAGACACGAGCAGCUGAAAAUCAGCCCCCGCUAGACUGUGCCCUCCCAUCAGCUCUCCUCAAAAAUGAACUCCUGUGCAAAAUGGAUAUCACUGGCCUUGGAGAAGAAAACUUCUCCAGUGGCUGCCCUCAGAUGCCAGAGAUAGGAGUUCGGCUCUGUUUCUUCUUCAGUUAGUGUCUUCAUGACCAACCUGUAAAUAUGAUCACUACCACUACCGAGAUUUAUCGGCAAUACUUCUCUUCAAAGACUCCACCGUGUGAAAGUCUAGCACAGUGUAGCUGUAUAGUUGUACUAGGAGGUAUGUAGGCUAAAGAGCUGCUUUCUUUUGUUGGGUCAAUAAACUGUGGAAAAGGACCACACCCCCAGAAAAAAAGGGUACAGUGCCUUGUGUAUGAAUUGUAAGUUAAUGUUUUGUGUUGUGUUGUUGAAUUGAAUGUUUAUGCUUAUUUUUAUACCAAAAUGCCAAGGUAAUACCUGUAUUUGAUGUUUUUAAAGCAUAAAAAGAGAUGUAAGAGAUGCAAAAAAACAUCCAGGAAAUUUUGAUCAAAUCAAAAUUCUCAGCAAUAUGGUGUUUAAACUUAAAACACCCUGUUCUGUUCAGGGCCUCUCAGUCCUCUAUGCAGCUUCAGUAGUUGCAAAGACAGUAUAAAACAUGUCACUUUACAUGGACUCCUUUAUUUUCUUUUUAGAAUAUUUAAGAAUAUUUUCGGAAACAGCCUGAGUUAAAGUUUAUCUGAACUAAAUAUUUCCAGCUCAUGAAAGCUCUUAUUGUUCUGAUGAGAAACCUCUUCCUAUUGGCUGUGCCUCAGCUGAGUGACUGGAUGGAGCUUAGCCAUGUUGUUGUCUUGGCUCUGCCAGUAUCCUGUUUGUCCACUCCUGUUUAAAAUAAAGUCUGUCUGAACUGUGUGCUCUUAUUAGGAAUUGUUUUUCUUGCAGUCCUGGAACAGCCAGGGGAGGGGGAGGGUGUCAUUUCUGCGUGUGUCCUCCACUGUAAAUACACCAUGCUAUUAUUUCUGCCUGUGCAAUGCUUGACUCAGUAAAUGCACUACAACUUUAGUGUGUUUGGUAGACAAAAUCACAUUUUAACAUAUAGUUAUAACAAACACUUGCC